ACAAGUUUGUUGCUUGUGUAUUUAUAUUCUAUGUAGUAAAACUCUAUGAAUUUCUUUAACCCUUAUGCUGUUAACCAAGAUAGCAGAAAGGACGUGCUGUAAAUUCAGUUUACUGAAUGAUCAUUUAUAUGUUGAUACUUCUGCAUAUAACACAUAUAUCAUAACACCUAAUAACUUUAGCAAUAUAACGAAGACUAACUAAAAUCCUCUUUAACUGUCUCUUUUUAAACAUAGUACUGUUUAUGUGUCUUUGUUUUUAAGUUUUAAAGUUUAGUUUAAUUGUGCAAUUCAGGCUUUUCCCGCUUUCCAUUUGCAAGCAGAACAACAUGACCUCUGGAGGACAUUCAAAACUUCAGCAUAGUUCAACCCACAGCCAUUAAAUUGAAAUUGUGCAAUCCUGCUCUUUCCCAAAACACUGCUUGGGCUUGUCAUGUUUGCUAUGAUGACAUCAGCAGUGAAGCAAGCUUUGGGUUAAAGGGAGGAUCAGAAGGUCAGGAAAGUAUAAAGCUUGCUCUAGCUACAAACUUUCAGACACAGUUUGCUGCAGUGAUCAUGAUGUCCUUCAAGACUGCACUGGCUCUGCUUCUUCUAGCCAUGUUCAGCAUGGUUGCCGAAUCAUCAUGGGGCAACGGGAAAGGAAAUUCUUACAAUUAUGACCUUUCCAAAAUGUCUGAUCUGAGGAAACUAUACAACUCCAAAGUUUUCAAGGCAGAGAGAAUGACCAGGCCUCUGGAGGGCAUGUCUUUCCAAGUCGGCGUACUCAGUCACUCCGGAGUUAGAGUGACUAUAGAAGACGGCACUAUAUGGCUGGUUCAUAAAGGAGAUGGCUAUGGUAUCUCAUCACAGACCGUUGUGGUGGCUGCCCGUCAUAUGAGCAGUAACUGGAAGAUUGUCGAGACUAAAAAUUUCGGUGGAAGCAAGACGGUAUCUGAUUUUGUGAAGGCUGGAGGAACAGACUACAAACUUUUGUUUGAUAACUGCCAUGAUGCCGCAAACCGGAUGAUGGGUGGUUAAAUAUACUAUAAAAAAACUACACUGAAGCCUAAAUGGUUUUCUUGUGAAGAGAACAUUACUUUUACAAAAAACAUUUUGUUAAUGUACCUUUUUAUUGAAUGUUUUUCAAAUGUAUGAUUGUGUAUAGAUGUGUGUUGAAUAUUAGUAUCUUUUGACGUUUUAAAAAUGUCCGACUCAAUAAUAAUGGACUUGAUAUUAAAACAUACCUGCAGGUGGCGACAGAGGUUCAUGUGUCCAUUUGCUUAUCCAGAAGGUAAACAGAUUUUAGUGAUUGAUUGUUGUAUGAAUAUUGCACAUGUACACAAUAAAAUAAGCACCUAGUUAUAAAAAGCAAAAGACACCUCGAGGCAAUUGCUUUUACUACAGUUUUUUUUUUUUUUUUACCUCUAUGUACAUGCAUGCCAUGUUUGUUUUGAGUAUGGUAUAACAAGAAAUGUCAGAUUAAUUAUGGGUGUCAGUUGUAACAGUACAAACAUCAACCUCUUUGGCAAAUAUAUGAACUAACUUCCUCCACCCAACCAGUGCUUUCCAUGAGAGUUUAAAACAUAUGCAUCGCAUGUUUGUUUUGAUUAAGCACAGUUAAGUUUAGCUUUAGGUAACAGGGAUGUAAAAAUAUAGCUCUGGUAACAAAAUCUCAUCAGACACUCACAAGCUUGAGUUUGCUGUGAGCAUGACGCCCUAUAAGACUGCACUGGUUUUGCUACUCCUGGCCAUAAGGCUUAGUGUCUGAAUACUCAUGGGGCAAAGUAGCUACAUUUACAAAUCUAUGUCCGAUUCGUUUACAACUACAUUGUUAUCAUCACCCAAGUCAAUAAAUACAAUUAAUCAACAUGUUGUUUGAUCUACGGUUUGUAUUUCUGUCUCAAAUGGCUAAAAUUUAAUGAUACAUAUUGAUGUAAUAAUCUGAUUUCUGUCACUUUUUGACUUUAGAGAAGGGUUUUAUAUCCUACAUACAAAUCAGAAAUAUGGCAGUAUAUGCAAAUUACAUAUAUGAAAUACAAUUUCAUAUUUAGAUUUCAUGUCCCACGGCUUAGUCCAUUACUUGGGGUUGCCACUGCGGAAUAAACUGCCAACUAUUCCGUAAUGUUUUACACAGCAGUUGCCCUUCCAGCUGCAUCCCAGUAUUGGGAAAUAUUUGGAUUUCACAUUCAUUCAUUCAUUCAUUCAUUCAUUCAUUCAUUCAUUCAUUCAUUUUCUAUUGGCCUAGUCCAUUUAUUCAUCAGGGGUCUCCACAACGGACUGAACUGCCAUCUUAUCCAACAUAUGUUCUACAUAGCAAAUGCUCUUCCAGCUGCAAUCCAGCACUGGGAAACAUCCAUACACUCUCAAUCACACACAUACACUUUGGCCAAUUUAAUUUACUGAAUUCUCCUAUAGCGCAUGUCUUUAAAGUGUGGGGGAAACCCAUGUGAACACAAGGAGAACAUGCAAACUCCACACAGAAAUGUCAACUGACCUAGUUGGGACUCGAACCAGUAAGCUUCUUGCUGUUAGGUGAUAGUGCUAACCACUGUGCCACCGUGUCACCCAUGGAUUUCACAUUAAUAAUAUAAAUGUCAUACACGGAACAUAUUUAAAAGUAUAUUUUAAAGUAUUCUGAAGUUUGCAUAUUUCUACAUACAACAACUAUAAAACUGCACGCCAGAUCUUUGAAAGGGAUGCCCUUACACAAUGGCAAUUUACUAAGUUACCCCAGAGUCAGGUAAAAUUUGUAUAACGCCUAAUUAUGUAACUUUAUCUUGAGUUGUGAACCACAGAGAACCAAAUGCUCAAAACACCUACAGUACAGUACACUGUAUGAAUAUCUUCUACUUGUUUUAAAAGUGAUUCUAGAAAAUGGCACAAAAAAAGGUUCAUAAAGGAACUGACUGGUAAAUCAUUCCAAACUGUUGUUGUUGGUGGCUGUCAUACGAAGUGUAAAUUAUGUUAUUAUUGAUAUCAGUAAAUUAAUAGCAUUGGUCACUCAGAAAUGAAAAUAUGCUUAUUGGUUAACCCCUAAGUGAUUUUAAUCUAAAUAACUAAACAGAUAUAUGACAUGCAAGGGAAAAAUACUGUGUAAAUCAACGACUAUCGUAUUAGCGUUCUUAAAAAGAAAUCCCUUUUGUGUUCAUCAGAAAUCAAAAAUUAGAAAUAGGUUACCGGGCAAUUUUUGGAACUAGUCCAGAAAAUAUUGUGCUGAAAGAAGAAAUAUGUAGAGUGAUUGCUUUUAAUACGCUACUGGCAAGGCGUUUAAUGAUUCUGUAUUGAAAAAAAACUGAGAUCCCAACACAUAGUAGAUGGAUUAAAGACGUUAUGUAUUUUAUUCAGCUUGAAAAAAUCUAAUUUACUCUCAGAGGUUCAAAAAAUAUUUUUUUUAAAACAUGGUCUCCCUUUCUUACAUACGUUGACAAUUUAGAAUUGUUAGAGCAGGAGGAUAUAUAAAAUCUCAUAUGAUCCCAAAAGACACCCCCCGUCCUUUUUUUUAAUUUAUUUAAAUUAAUUUAUUUUAUUUUUAUUUUUUAUUCCUUUCAUGUCCCUGUAACCGUGUAAUGCCUUUCACAAUGGCAGUGCUUGUAAGAAAAGUAUACAGAACCUUUCUUUUAUUACACACUGAACUGUUCACUUUUUAUGUGUAUCGUAUAUCUUUUUGCAUUUUGUCAUUACUGUAUUGAAGUUGUGUAUGCACUCUAUAUGUACACUUGCUGUGCAUUUGUGUAACGCUCGAGGACUUUAUGUUUGCACACUGUUAGCUAUUUAAAUCUUCUGUUAGAGCCACAAAAGGGAAAGUAGUGUUGGGUAUAUUUGUUUAUAUAUUUUGUUUUGUUGUUGUUGACUGUUUGUCUUUUUCUGUUUUGUGCAAAUGUAUAUGUACAUA
ensembl:processed_transcript